rnacentral:rRNA from 1 species
AGAGUUUGAUCAUGGCUCAGAACGAACGCUGGCGGCGUGCCUAACACAUGCAAGUCGAGCGCGAAUGGAGCAAUCCUAGUAGAGCGGCGCACGGGUGCGUAACACGUGGAUAAUCUGCCUGGGUGUCUGGGAUAACCAGUCGAAAGAUUGGCUAAUACCGGAUAAGCCCCCGGGAGCUUCGGCUCCUGAGGGAAAAGGUGGCCUCUGUAUACAAGCUAUCACAUCCAGAUGAGUCCGCGGCCCAUCAGCUAGUUGGCGGGGUAAUGGCCCACCAAGGCAACGACGGGUAGCUGGUCUGAGAGGACGAUCAGCCACACUGGAACUGAGACACGGUCCAGACUCCUACGGGAGGCAGCAGUGGGGAAUUUUGCGCAAUGGGCGAAAGCCUGACGCAGCAACGCCGCGUGUGUGAUGAAGGUCUUCGGAUUGUAAAGCACUUUCGACCGGGACGAAAACCCUGAAGCUAAUAUCUUCAGGCUUGACGGUACCGGGAGAAGAAGCACCGGCUAACUCUGUGCCAGCAGCCGCGGUAAUACAGAGGGUGCAAGCGUUGUUCGGAAUUAUUGGGCGUAAAGCGCGUGUAGGCGGCUUUGCAAGUCGGGUGUGAAAGCCCUCAGCUCAACUGAGGAAGUGCGCCCGAAACUGCAGAGCUUGAGUGCCGGAGAGGGUGGCGGAAUUCCCCAAGUAGAGGUGAAAUUCGUAGAUAUGGGGAGGAACACCGGUGGCGAAGGCGGCCACCUGGACGGUAACUGACGCUGAGACGCGAAAGCGUGGGGAGCAAACAGGAUUAGAUACCCCGGUAGUCC